AACGAACGCUGGCGGCGUGCCUAAUACAUGCAAGUCGAACGCAGUGGGGAUGGGUGAGUAACACGUGGGUAACCUCCCAUCAGAGGGGAGAACACUUGGAAACAGGUGCUAAACCGAUAAUGAAGUAUGGACCCGCGGUGCAUUAGCUAGUAGGCGUGGGAACGGCGCACCAAGUCCACGCGGCAUAGCGGACCUGAGAGGAUGACCGGCCACACUGGAACUGAGACACGGCCCAGACUCCUACGGGAGGCAGCAGUAGGGAAUCUUCGGCAAUGGGCGAAAGUCUGACGGAGCAACGCCGCGUGAGUGAAGAAGGUUUUCGGGUCGUAAAGCUCUGUUGUUGGAGAGGCGGUAUCUAACCAGAAAGCCACGGCUAACUACGUGCCAGCAGCCGCGGUAAUAC
rnacentral:rRNA from 1 species